rnacentral:lncRNA from 1 species
AUCUCCACAAGAAGAUAUCUGGAUAGGAUAUACUGCUCCAAAAGUCAUUCAAUGGAUUCAGGAGGAAUCUGCAUUAGAAAGUUCUGAGUCCAUGGAACUUAGAUCUACAACAAUAAACAAAAGGGUGUGGCCUUCAUAUAGUCCUAUCAUAUUAGCCCAUUCUAAACCCUCAGAAGUAGUUUUUCCAAUGAGCUCUAUUUCUGAGACUUUCACACCAUUGAACUGGAAUGACUUUCCAUUAAAUAAUCACUGGAUACAGCCUGUAUCUAAUAAAAUUAUACCAUGGACCAAGGUUUUAUACAUACCAGAAAACCUUUGGACAGAAGUUGUAUAUUCUACAUUUGUACCAACAACAAAUUUUAUAUCUUCAUCAGAAAUUAUUCCUAUACAACUUACUUAUGAUGAACUAAGAUGGGCUAAGGAUAAGAUUUCAGAUAAAAUUACGUGCAUAUUGUCUGAUUAUCAUGAAUGUGUAUCAAGGAUCCAAAGCAGGUCUCUAAAUACAGUACUAAUAGGGGUUGAUAGUUAUAUAGUAACAAAGACCUUCCGAGCUCAGUCUUCUUUAGAUUUUUUGGCACCAACAAUAACCACUAAAUUUACAACAUGGAGUCUAGAUGAAUUGUCAUUACUGGAAACUGAGUUGAAGCCUAUAACUCCCCUACUUGUUGAAUGGACCCAAGGUGAAGUUUCGCAAAACUUAUUAGCAGAAACUUCAAAAACAAUUGGCACAUCUCUUAACUCAACUAUAAUUCUACCUGUAGAGACAGAAACUGAUAAAGGACCAUUUUUAACAGUGACUGAAAAUGAAGCUAAGAAAAGUUUAACAGUGUCUAAUAUUAAUACUUUAAUAGUUUCAGUGAAUGCUCCAACUUAUGUUAUCCAACAUUCAACCCAAAAUAGGCAAAAAUCUUUUCUGUGGGCACCUACAGAAACUCUAGACAGAAGUACAUGGUCUUUUUCUGAACUAGGAUCACUUUUAUCCUGGAAAGUGCCUGUUCCUUUAGCAACUGGUUAUGAACUUCACCAUAAACCAAAAUAUUGGUUUAAAACUAAAGAUGAAAGAAUAAAACCAUGGACCCAGUCAGACUUUCAGAUAAUCAAUAUUUUUACUUCACUGACGAUUAGCAAAGUAGAGUCCUAUGAACAACAUAAAAUGGGUAUGCAUUCUGCUACUGGUGUAUCUAAUGACUGGAUCCAAUCUGAAACAGAAAGUAUAAGAUUCUGGAAUGUUUCAAAAGACAAUACAUUAAGGCCACAGUUACAAAUUGAAGAGAGCACAGACAAUGCUUCAAUCCAGCUGAAAUCUAAUACAGUAAAAGUGUGGCCUCAGGCUGAAUCAGAAGUAAUUAGGCUUUGGACUGAGUCUGUAUCUAAUAUACCAUUGUCACAAGCUAAAAUAGAACCAGAAAAGUACUCGAACAUGUCUGACAUUAAUGCUAUCUUAUCUUGGUUCCAGAUUCAAAAACUUUCAACAAGACAAAGAACUAAACUUGAAUACAAAACUGUUAACCCCUGGCUCCAGCAAGAAUGGCAAAUAGCACAUUCCUGGAAUGAACUUGAAAUAAAGGUAGUAAAAACUAGGUCAGAUUUUAAAACAGAUGCAUCCCAGAUAUUCUUAACCUAUUCAAAGUCUGAUGAAAUUAAACUUUGGACUCAAGCUGAAUCGCAGCUUGUCAGGAGAUGGCCUGAAGAUGUUAUAUUCACACUUUGGUCCCUGACUAAGAAUGAUGCUAUUAAGCCAUGGCCAGAACUGGAGUAUGAAACUACGCAAUCUUUGGCACAUCUUAGUGUUGGUAUAAUCAAUCCUUGGAUUCAGUGUAAGCCUUCUACUGAAACUCUAAAUAUGAUUUCCUGGAUUCAUUUUGAUACAAUAAUGCCAUACUCAUUACAGACUCAAAUAGAUUCUACAUUUCAAUCUCUGACUCAAAUUUAUGCAAUUGGGCAAUCCUCACGACCAGAAUAUGAAACUACAGAAUUGUUUACACAUUCUAAUGUUGGUAUAACCUAUCCUUGGAUUCAGCAUGCGACUUCUACUGAAACUCUAAAAAUCAUUCCCUGGAUUCAUUCUGGUACAGUAAUAUCAUACUCAUUACAGACUCAAAUAGAUUCCUUAUUUCAGUCCCUAUAUGAAAUCUAUUCAAUUAGGCAACUGUCACAUCCAGAAUUUGAUAUUACAAAAUAUUUGGCACAUCCUAAUGUUGGUAUAAUCAAACCUUGGGCUCUGCAUAAGUCAUCUACCGAAAUUCUAAGAAUCAUUCCCUGGGCCCCUUCUGAUACAGUAAUAUCAUACCCAUUACAGACUGAAAUAGAUUCUACAUUUCAGUUCAUGACUCAAAUCUAUGCCAUUAGACAAUGGUCACAACAGGAAUAUGAAACUAAAGAAUCAUCGACACAGCCUAAUGUUGGUAUAACUUACCCUUGGAUUAAGCAUAAAGGUUCUACUGAAACUCUAGAAAUCAUUUCAUGGACUCAUUCUAGUACAUUAUUAUACCCAUUAGAGACUCAAAUAGAUUUCACACUUCAGGAUCUACCUCAGAAUUAUGCACUUAAACAAUCAUCACAGUCAGAAUAUGAAGCUACAAGAUCUUUGACACAAACUAAUGGUUAUAAAAUCAACCCUUGGAUUCAACACAAAGCAUCCACUGAAACUCAAAAAAUAAUUUUCUGGACUCACUCUGAUGCAGUAAUAUCAUAUUCAAUGCAGACUCUAAUAGAUUCGUUUAGAUUUUGGAACCAGUUUCAACCAAAACCAACCCAAAUUUGGAAUCCAAUGGCAGAACAAUUUGGAGAAACAUCAGUUUUGACUGAAGUUGGUACAGUAACACCAUCAGUUCAGUUUCAAGACACACUUUUAAGGAAAGAACCUAUGUUGAUGCCUCCAUCUCAACCUGGCCUUCAAAAUAAGCAUUUAAUAGAACCACAAUCAAGAAUCAAUGUUUCAUUGUCUGAAUGUCACCUGAGUAUGAUAUGGAAAG